AGUGCUUGCACUCAAUUGGAAAGAGGAGUGGCGGACGGGUGAGUAACACGUGGGUAACCUACCCAUCAGAGGGGGAUAACACUUGGAAACAGGUGCUAAUACCGCAUAACAGUUUAUGCCGCAUGGCAUAAGAGUGAAAGGCGCUUUCGGGUGUCGCUGAUGGAUGGACCCGCGGUGCAUUAGCUAGUUGGUGAGGUAACGGCUCACCAAGGCCACGAUGCAUAGCCGACCUGAGAGGGUGAUCGGCCACACUGGGACUGAGACACGGCCCAGACUCCUACGGGAGGCAGCAGUAGGGAAUCUUCGGCAAUGGACGAAAGUCUGACCGAGCAACGCCGCGUGAGUGAAGAAGGUUUUCGGAUCGUAAAACUCUGUUGUUAGAGAAGAACAAGGACGUUAGUAACUGAACGUCCCCUGACGGUAUCUAACCAGAAAGCCACGGCUAACUACGUGCCAGCAGCCGCGGUAAUACGUAGGUGGCAAGCGUUGUCCGGAUUUAUUGGGCGUAAAGCGAGCGCAGGCGGUUUCUUAAGUCUGAUGUGAAAGCCCCCGGCUCAACCGGGGAGGGUCAUUGGAAACUGGGAGACUUGAGUGCAGAAGAGGAGAGUGGAAUUCCAUGUGUAGCGGUGAAAUGCGUAGAUAUAUGGAGGAACACCAGUGGCGAAGGC
rnacentral:rRNA from 1 species